rnacentral:ncRNA from 1 species
GAUUCCAACUGUUUAAUUAAAAAAAAGAACUAUGAUUUUCUCUGUGGAUGUUGAUGCAAUGUGAUUUAUACCCAGUUCUUUGCAUGUGAAAGUGAAGAAAUUCAACCAAGCACGGGUAAACAACUGGAGUAAUUAUGAAUCUCUUAAGGUGGUCAGAUGCCUAAUCAUCUAAUUAGUGACAUGCGUGAAUGGAUUAACAAGAUUC